CACGGGGGUUGCGAGCGUUGUCCGGAAUUACUAGGCGUAAAGGGCAGGCAGGCGGAUCCAUAAGUUGAUCGUUUAAGGCGUCGGCUUAACCGGCGUAGGGCGGUAGAUACUGUGGAUCUGGAAUGCGGUUGGGGAAGACGGAAUUCUUGGUGUAGCGGUGGAAUACGCAGAGAUCAGGAGGAAUACCGAAGGCGAAGGCAGUAUUUCAAGCCGUUAUUGACGAUCAAGUGGGAAGGUGUGGGUAUCAACCAGGAUUAGAUACCCUGGUAGUCCACACAGUAAACGAUAAUCACUGGGUGUCGGGUUCGCAUAGGAUUCGGUGCCGUAACUAACGCGUUAAGUGAUUCCCCUGGGGAGUACGAUCGCAAGGUUG
rnacentral:rRNA from 1 species